rnacentral:rRNA from 1 species
GAUGAACGCUGGCGGCGUGCCUAAUACAUGCAAGUCGAGCGAACAGAUAAGGAGCUUGCUCCUUUGACGUUAGCGGCGGACGGGUGAGUAACACGUGGGUAACCUACCUAUAAGACUGGCAUAACUCCGGGAAACCGGGGCUAAUGCCGGAUAACAUGUUGAACCGCAUGGUUCUACAGUGAAAGGGGGCUUUGCUGUCACUAGUAGAUGGACCCGCGCCGUAUUAGCUAGUUGGUGCGGUAACGGCUCACCAAGGCAACGAUACGUAGCCGACCUGAGAGGGUGAUCGGCCACACUGGAACUGAGACACGGUCCAGACUCCUACGGGAGGCAGCAGUAGGGAAUCUUCCGCAAUGGGCGAAAGCCUGACGGAGCAACGCCGCGUGAGUGAUGAAGGUCUUCGGAUCGUAAAACUCUGUUAUUAGGGAAGAACAAAUGCGUAAGUAACUGUGCGCGUCUUGACGGUACCUAAUCAGAAAGCCACGGCUAACUACGUG